GAUUAAGCCAUGCAUGUGUAAGUAUAAAUAGUUAACCUUUGAAACUGCGAAUGGCUCAUUAUAUCGGUUAUAGUUUAUUUGAUGAAGAAUACUAAUUGGAUAACCGUAGUAAUUCUAGAGCUAAUACAUGUAUAAAGUCUUGUAGACUGCAUUUAUUAGAAUGAAAACCAUAGGUUUCGGCCUAUUCGUGAGUAAUAAUAACUAAUCAUAUCGUAUGCUUAUGUAACGAUGUGUCUUUCAAGUUUCUGCCCUAUCAGCUUUCGAUGGUAGUGUAUUGGACUACCAUG
rnacentral:rRNA from 1 species